AUUGAACGCUGGCGGCAGGCCUAACACAUGCAGGUCGAGCGAGCGCCGGACGGGUGAGUAAUGCCUGGGAAACUGCCUGAUGGAGGGGGAGAAGGACUGGAAACGAUAGCUAAACCCGCAUACAAUCAGUUGUGUCCAUAGGGGCUUCGCUGGUAGGUGGGUGAACGUCGCACCUAGGCAACGAUGCCUAGGUGGUCUCAGAGGAUGACCAGCCACACGUGUACUGUGACACGGUCCAUACGCCUACGUGAGGCAGCAGUGGGGAAUAUUGAACAAAGGGCUGAAGCCUGAUGCAGCCAUGGCGAGUGGAUGACGAAGGCCUUAGGGUUUUAAAGUACUUUCAUCGUGGAGGCGUUACCCGCAGAAGAGGAGCCGGCUAACGCCGUGCCAGCCGCCGCGGUAAUUG
rnacentral:rRNA from 1 species